rnacentral:rRNA from 1 species
AUUGAACGCUGGCGGCAGGCCUAACACAUGCAAGUCGAGCGAGCGGCGGACGGGUGAGUAAUGUCUGGGAAACUGCCUGAUGGCGGGGGAUAACUACUGGAAACGGUAGCUAAUCCCGCAUACCAUCAGAUGUGCCCAGAUGGGAUUAGCUGGUAGGUGGGGUAACGGCUCACCUAGGGGACGAUCCCUAGCUGGUCUGAUAGGAUGACCGGCCAACCUGGAACGGUGACCCGGACCAGAGUCCGACGGGAGGCAGCAGUGGGGAAUAUUGCGCAAUGGGCGAAAGCCUGAUGCAGCCAUGCCGCGUGUGUGAAGAAGGCCUUCGGGUUGUAAAGCACUUUCAGCGGGGAGGCGUUACCCGCAGAAGAAGCACCGGCUAACUCCGUGCCAGCAGCCGCGGUAAUUC